GUAGAGGUGGCUCAGAGGUUAAGAGCACUGACUGUUCUUCCAGAGGUCCUGAGUUCAAUUCCCAGCAACCACA
rfam:Neotoma lepida isolate 417 scaffold_1967, whole genome shotgun sequence.